GAUGAACGCUGGCGGCGUGCCUAAUACAUGCAAGUCGAGCGAACGGACGAGAAGCUUGCUUCUCUGAUGUUAGCGGCGGACGGGUGAGUAACACGUGGAUAACCUACCUAUAAGACUGGGAUAACUUCGGGAAACCGGAGCUAAUACCGGAUAAUAUUUUGAACCGCAUGGUUCAAAAGUGAAAGACGGUCUUGCUGUCACUUAUAGAUGGAUCCGCGCUGCAUUAGCUAGUUGGUAAGGUAACGGCUUACCAAGGCAACGAUGCAUAGCCGACCUGAGAGGGUGAUCGGCCACACUGGAACUGAGACACGGUCCAGACUCCUACGGGAGGCAGCAGUAGGGAAUCUUCCGCAAUGGGCGAAAGCCUGACGGAGCAACGCCGCGUGAGUGAUGAAGGUCUUCGGAUCGUAAAACUCUGUUAUUAGGGAAGAACAUAUGUGUAAGUAACUGUGCACAUCUUGACGGUACCUAAUCAGAAAGCCACGGCUAACUACGUGCCAGCAGCCGCGGUAAUACGUAGGUGGCAAGCGUUAUCCGGAAUUAUUGGGCGUAAAGCGCGCGUAGGCGGUUUUUUAAGUCUGAUGUGAAAGCCCACGGCUCAACCGUGGAGGGUCAUUGGAAACUGGAAAACUUGAGUGCAGAAGAGGAAAGUGGAAUUCCAUGUGUAGCGGUGAAAUGCGCAGAGAUAUGGAGGAACACCAGUGGCGGAGGCGACUUUCUGGUCUGUAACUGACGCUGAUGUGCGAAAGCGUGGGGAUCAAACAGGAUUAGAUACCCUGGUAGUCCACGCCGUAAACGAUGAGUGCUAAGUGUUAGGGGGUUUCCGCCCCUUAGUGCUGCAGCUAACGCAUUAAGCACUCCGCCUGGGGAGUACGACCGCAAGGUUGAAACUCAAAGGAAUUGACGGGGACCCGCACAAGCGGUGGAGCAUGUGGUUUAAUUCGAAGCAACGCGAAGAACCUUACCAAAUCUUGACAUCCUUUGACAACUCUAGAGAUAGAGCUUUCCCCUUCGGGGGACAAAGUGACAGGUGGUGCAUGGUUGUCGUCAGCUCGUGUCGUGAGAUGUUGGGUUAAGUCCCGCAACGAGCGCAACCCUUAAGCUUAGUUGCCAUCAUUAAGUUGGGCACUCUAAGUUGACUGCCGGUGACAAACCGGAGGAAGGUGGGGAUGACGUCAAAUCAUCAUGCCCCUUAUGAUUUGGGCUACACACGUGCUACAAUGGACAAUACAAAGGGCAGCGAAACCGCGAGGUCAAGCAAAUCCCAUAAAGUUGUUCUCAGUUCGGAUUGUAGUCUGCAACUCGACUACAUGAAGCUGGAAUCGCUAGUAAUCGUAGAUCAGCAUGCUACGGUGAAUACGUUCCCGGGUCU
rnacentral:rRNA from 1 species